rnacentral:tRNA from 1 species
GGGCCGGUAGUUAAACCUGGUAAAGCAUUGCUCCAGAUUAAUGCGCCCUUGGCUAGGGUGACUAGAGUGGAAGACUACUCUUGCUCUUUAGGCUCCGGGUUCAAAGCAGUGUGAAAAUCCCGGCCGGUCCA